AGGGGGGAAAGCAGGAGGAGGCAUUGGAAAGAGAGGGGAGAAUGGGGGAGAGAAGGAUGGGGAGAGAGGGAGAGGGGGUGAGGAGGGGAAGAGAGAGGAGAGGCAGUUAGCACCGGCGCGCAGCAUGGAGGAGCGGCGCCUGCUCCGUGUGAGUGGAGGGAGAGAAUGAGAGGCGCAGAGAGAGAGAGAGAGAGAAUGAGAGAGAGAGACAGAGAGAGAGAGAGGGAGAGAGAGAGAGAGAGAGAGAGAGGGAAAGAUGCCUUGCGCUCUCUAAUACAGACACAUCGCACCGAAGGACACACUUCACAAACCACUGAACAACACAUCACUGAAUGACUGAGAUGAAUCUUCCAUAAAAGCCAGGGGGAGGACAGACAGACACACCAUGCAGACGGGCGCCUCUGGGAGAGUGUGUGUGCAGUUAUCUCCUCUGUGACCACGCUUAUUGACUUCCCCAGCCUAAACUACCACCUCGCUCAGACCUCAGGAGCACCACAGCACCACAGGCAGACAGCCAUAAGUACAUGUCCUCAGAGGGGACAUAAAAUGGCGGGAACCCACCUCGAUAAAAAGGCACCUCACAGCCUGGGAGGAAAAAAUGAGGAAGGGAAGAAAAAAAAAGCUGUAUACUGAUCCAAACUUUAAAUUACGUUAAGAGUUUCACAUAUACCGACGGUGCAUAUGUAUUUGAUUGUUGCAGUUAUUACUAAAAAUGCCAUUUUCUCCACUCUAAUUUAUAGAGUAUAAGUGCAAUUACGAAAGUACAAUUUAAAACAAAAGAACAGUAUAUUCUUUUACGCUGCAGUAUAUGGAAAUAACUACAUAAUAGCUUGCAUCUGGUUGAUUUAUAGGUGGUAUUUUGCAAUUGCCCUUAGCUAGAAAAUCCCCCUAUUGUGUUGAGAGUUGGUAUAACAUGUAAGUGGAGUACUGUUUACAUGUAACCAAAUGUGCCCUUGCAGCCCUUAAACUGGAUCUUGCCA